AAAAUAAAAAGUGCUUUUUGAAAAUGUUGAGGUUGAAAUGAUGGGAACCAACAUUCUUUGGAUUUAGGGGAGAGAUUGUAGGAGAAAACACCUCCCCUUGGUUCGUACAUGUACGAGAAUGGGACCCAGUGGGAGCACAGCCAUGGACUUCUUCACUCCGGAAUGUAUUGCGCUAAAGUGGGGCUGGGGCCCAGGCCUAGGAGGAGAGGGUGGUCCGCAGACACCCCAGGAUGUUGGCAGGUCCCCACCUGCCUUCUGGCACCUCCUCCCGGGUGCUGCAGUGAGUCAGCCGGCAUGGGGUGAGAACCCGUUGCAUGCUGGGAACAGGGUGCAGGGGACCAGUGUGCCUCCUGCAGCCUUGACCGGGGGCAUGCACCACCGCACCCCCAAACACACACAAGCACUUCUUCGGGAUGGCUUCCAGGACAGGUGUCCCUUCAGUCCCCUGGUUAUGAGCCCAGUCCCACUCAGACCCUGCAGCCCAGCCUGUCUUGUAACCACUGCCUCCUCAAGGCCACAUCUAGAAGAUUCUUCUUCCCUGUGAAAGAAAAUCAUUGUCAUUGCUUCAUCACUUCUAAGACAUUUUGUAGGGCAUGGACAAGUUAAACAGAAUGUGCUUUCCUCCCUGGGGUCUCGCUGUACCACGGGCUCCCUAGCGAACGCCACAGGGGCCGUACACUGGGCGAGCUUCUCUGUAGAGCCCUGGGAGCUUCAGCUCGGAGCACAGCGUCUCACCCUAAGCCUACAGCAGUGAGCCCCGAACUUCUGCAUUCACAGACCAUCUCCACAAUUUUUAUCAUAACCAAAGGCCUCCUGGUCUGUUAUUUCACUUAAAUCAACAUGCGAUUUUGUUUUGACUCACUUCUGACUUUAGUCUUGCGCUGAGCGGUGUAUCCAUGCAGUCAUGUUCACAUGCUAGUUAUGUUUUUCUUCUUACACAUGAAAACAAAUGCGUAACUGUUAGA